rnacentral:rRNA from 1 species
AGAGCGAACGCUGGCGGCAUGCUUAACACAUGCAAGUCGCACGGUUUGGGGGCAACUCCAGGCAGUGGCGGACGGGUGAGUAACGCGUAGGCAUCUAUCCAAGGGUGGGGGACAACCACGGGAAACUGUGGCUAAUACCGCAUGACGACUUUGGCCGAGAGGUUGAGGUCCAAAGGCCGUGAGGUCGCCUAUGGAGGAGCCUGCGUCCGAUUAGCUUGUUGGUGGGGUAAAGCCUACCAAGGCGACGAUCGGUAGCUGGUCUGAGAGGAUGAUCAGCCACAUUGGGACUGAGACACGGCCAAACUCCUACGGGAGGCAGCAGUGGGGAAUCUUGCGCAAUGGCCGAAAGGCUGACGCAGCGACGCCGCGUGUGGGAGGACGCCCUUCGGGUGUAAACCACUGUUGCCGGGACGAACAUCCACUUUCGAGUGGACUGACGGUACCGGGUGAGGAGCACCGGCUAACUCCGCGCCAGCAGCCGCGGU